rnacentral:rRNA from 1 species
GACGAACGCUGGCGGCGUGCUUAACACAUGCAAGUCGAACGAAGUGGAACGGGUGAGUAAUACGUGGGUAACUGCCCUCCUUUUUGGGAUAAGCCUUGGAAACGGGGUCUAAUACCGAAUAAAGGGGGAUGGGCUCGCGGCCUAUCAGCUUGUUGGUGGGGUGAUGGCCUACCAAGGCGGGGACGGGUAGCCGGCCUGAGAGGGGACAGGCCACAUUGGGCUGAGAUACAGCCGAGACUCCUACGGGAGGCAGCAGGGGGGGAUAUUGCACAAUGGGCGAAAGCCUGAUGCAGCGACGCCGCGUGAAGGAAGACGGUCUUCGGAUUGUAAACUUAUUUAGACAGGGACGCGGUACCUGUAUAAUAAGCCACGGCUAACUACGUGCCAGCAGCCGCGGUAAUUC